rnacentral:rRNA from 1 species
GCAAGGAAUUUUCCGCAAUGGGCGCAAGCCUGACGGAGCAACGCCGCGUGUGGGAUGACGCUUUUCGGAGUGUAAACCACUGUUCAUGGGGACGAAGCACUGACGGUACCCAUGGAGGAAGGCCCGGCUAACUACGUGCCAGCAGCCGCGGUAAUACGUAGGGGCCGAGCGUUGUCCGGAGUUACUGGGCGUAAAGCGCGCGCAGGUGGCUCAUUACGCCCGGCGUGAAAGCCCCCGGCCCAACCGGGGAAGGUCGUCGGGGACGGGUGAGCUUGAGGGUAUCAGGGGCUGGUGGAAUUCCCGGUGUAGUGGUGAAAUGCGUAGAGAUCGGGAGGAACACCCGUGGCGAAGGCGGCCAGCUGGGAUACACCUGACACUGAGGCGCGAAGGCGUGGGGAGCGAACGGGAUUAGAAACCCUUGUAGUCC